AUGCACGCUGGCGGCGUGCCUAAUACAUGCAAGUCGAGCGAACGGACGAGAAGCUUGCUUCUCUGAUGUUAGCGGCGGACUGGUGAGUAACACGUGGAUAACCUACCUAUAAGACUGGGAUAACUUCGGUAAACCGGAGCUAAUACCGGAUAAUAUUUUGAACCGCAUGUUUCAAAAGUGAAAGACGGUCUUGCUUUCACUUAUAGAUGGAUCCCCGCUGCAUUAGCUAGUUGGUAAGGUAACGGCUUACCAAGGCAACGAUGCAUAGCCGACCUGAGAGGGUGAUAGGCAACACUGGAACUGAGACACGGUACAGACUCCUACGGGAGGAAGCAGUAGGGAAUAUUCCGCAAUGGGCGAAAGCCUGACGGAGCAACGCCGCGUGAGUGAUGAAGGUCUUCGGAUCGUAAAACUCUGUUAUUAGGGAAGAAAAUAUGUGUAAGUAACUGUGCACAUCAUGACGGUACCUAAUCAGAAAGCCACGGCUAACUACGUG
rnacentral:rRNA from 1 species